rnacentral:piRNA from 1 species
UGUUAGUUUCAGUUAGUCUACAGCAUUGUG